GUCAGGAAUAUUGGGCAAUGGGCGAAAGCCUGACCCAGCAACGCCGCGUGAAGGAUGAAGGCCUUCGGGUCGUAAACUUCUGUCGAGAGGGAAGAAUGCGUACGGGUGAAUAAUCCGUGCGUUUGACGGUACCUCCAAAGGAAGCACCGGCUAACUCCGUGCCAGCAGCCGCGGUAAUACGGAGGGUGCAAGCGUUGUUCGGAUUCAUUGGGCGUAAAGCGAGUGUAGGCGGUUUGACAAGUCGGAUGUGAAAUCCCGGGGCCCAACCCCGGAACUGCAUCCGAUACUGUCUGGCUAGAGUCCCGGAGAGGGUGGCGGAAUUCCCGGUGUAGGGGUGAAAUCCGUAGAUAUCGGGAGGAACACCAGUGGCGAAGGCGGCCACCUGGACGGUGACUGACGCUGAGACUCGAAAGCGUGGGUAGCAAACAGGAUUAGAAACCCUGGUAGUCC
rnacentral:rRNA from 1 species